UGUAAAAUACACGCAUUUCCAAGACUCACUGCAAAGAGGAGAAUUUAUUUCAUGACAAUUUUUAUAUUGACGACACGUUGAAAUGACCCGCAUUUCAAUAUAUUAGAUUAACUAUAUGAUGAAAAUUAAUUUCCCCCGCUUCUUUCUUUAAGCGUCGAUAUUGGAAAAUUCAGAAUUACACACGCAGCUCGCACUGCAUUCCCAUGGGCCAGCGCUCUCGAGGUGGACUUUUCUCACUGCCUCGAGCUGGGCUGGGCAGACCGGGCCCCACCCCCUGUGCUAUAGUUGGGGAUGGGGCGGGGGGAUGGUGCUGGGGAGAAGAAUCAGCCCCCCACCCACCCUGCACGUUGGGGUCAGAUCAAGACCCUCCUCUCCCACGCCCCUCCCCCUGGGGCGAGUCCCACUUCCGGCCGGGCCCAAGUCCCUGCCAGACUUGACUUUUAUUUUUAGCAGCCUCAGCGCCGCUGGCUCUCAAGCUUGCUGGGUGUGGGCCAGCCCCAGGCCACCAUUUCCCUGCCAGCGGGGGUCUCCGGGGACCAGGCUCCACGUUUGGAGCCUCUCAGGGCUGCAGUAGCACUCUGGAGCCACAGGACCAUUGGGCGGAUAAACACAAGCGAGUGAUUUAUGAUCUACGAAGUUUAAUUCCCUUGCACGUAAACUACGAAAAUAAUACCGAGAUACAACCCUUGUCUUAGGGUCUGUGACUGACGGUGCCCGUCCCCGAGCAGCACCAGGUGGCAAUCAACACUCCAAGGUUGGCUUGAUGCUUGACCAGCAUCCUGCCCUCGUUUCCUGAACACCUGCUGUGCAAGGCUCUGGGUGGUUCUGCAAGAUGAAUCAUUUAAGCAGUCACUUACUCAACAAACCUUUUUUUGAGCACUUGCUACUUUGUAUGGGCUUAUUUAUUUAUAGCAUGCCUUGUUCCAGAAAACACAUAACAGAACUUCUGUAUUUGAGAGACUAAAAUUUUAAAGGUGUGGUCACGGGAGGAGUGACAAAUGGAAAACAGAAGUUGAAAAGGUCAGAAGAGCCCAGGAAUGAAACAGUGAUCCAAAGUACAGGCCUUGAGGUCCUACGUGGUACAGAGACAGGCUACAGGUUGUCCUCUGACCUCUCCAGCAGCCAAAACCAGAUCCCACGCCGUUCGGGAUCCAUGAACCAGUUGCAAGAGGAGAAACAUGACUCACGUAGGUCCCAGGACCAGAGAGGCCUUUUCCCGGUGCGUUCGCAGAAGAGACAGAGCAUCGUCAAACAUAGGGAGCGAUGUCCACAACGCUGCACAUACAACACAGGUGUCAGGGGCCCUUUCCCGUAGGCCCUCCAUGCUGGCCCAAGUCCUGCAGCCUUUCUGCAGCAGGGAGAGGAUGACAGCACAGGGCAAGCAUGCCUCGCCCUGGCUUAAUCCAUAUGCAGUGUUUGUAGGAAACAUUUACAGCAAACUUGCAGUCAACUGGCUAAGUGCAGUCCUCGGGUGAGCUUUGUUUGGUCCGAGAAGGAUAUUUAAAUUGAUUGGAUUACAAGGGGGUAUAUGCACCCCGAUGUUCAUACCAGCGUUAUCAACAAUAGGCAAAUCACAGGGGCACCCGGGGGCUCAGUCGGUUGAGCGUCUGACUUCAGCCCAGGUCAUGAUCUCAUGUUCAUGAGUUCGACCCCCACGUCCGGCUCUGUGCUGACAGCUUAGAGCCUGGAGCCUGCUUUGGAGUCUGUGUCUCCCUCUCUCUCUCUCUGCCCCUCCUCCACUUGUGCUCUGUCUCUCUCUCUCUCUCUCUCAAAAAUAAAUAAACAUUAAAAAAAGAAACGAUAGCCAAGUUACGGAAGCAGCCCAAGUGUCCACGACUGAUGAAUGGAUAAAAAACAUACACUAUGGAGGGGUGCCUGGGUGGCUCAGUCGGUUAAGCGGCCGACUUCGGCUCAGGUCAUGAUCUCACGGUCCGUGAGUUCGAGCCCCGUGUUGGGCUCUGUGCUGACAGCUCAGAGCCUGGAGCCUGUUUCAGAUUCUGUGCCUCCCUCUCUCUGACCCUCCCCCGUUCAUGCUCUGUCUCUCUCUGUCUCAAAAAUAAAUAAACGUUAAAAAAAAUUUUAAAAAAAAUACACCAUGGAAUAUUACUGAGUCAUCAAAAGGAAUUGGAAUCUUGCCAUUGGCAAUGACGUGGUUGGAGCUACAGUGUAUUAUGCUAAGUGUAUUUGUCAGAGAAAGACAGAUAUCAUAUGAUUUCACCCAUAUGUGAAAUUUAAGAAACAAAACAAAUGAGCAAGGGGAGAGACAAACUAGGAAACAGACUCUUUUGGUUUUUUUAAUGUUCACUUUUGACAGAGAGAGAGACAGAGCAUGAGUGGGGGGUGGGGGAGUGCAGAGAGAGAGGGAGACACAGCAUCCAAGGCAGGCUCCAGGCUCUGAGCUGUCAGCACAGAACCUGACACGGGGCUCGAACCCACGAACAGCAAGAUCACGACCUGAGCCGAAGUCGGACGCUCAACCAACGGAGCCACCCAGGUACUCCGGAAACAGACUCUUAACUAUGGAGAA